rnacentral:rRNA from 1 species
AUUGAACGCUGGCGGCAUGCCUUACACAUGCAAGUCGAACGGUAACAGGUCUUCGGAUGCUGACGAGUGGCGAACGGGUGAGUAAUACAUCGGAACGUGCCUAGUAGUGGGGGAUAACUACUCGAAAGAGUGGCUAAUACCGCAUGAGAUCUACGGAUGAAAGCAGGGGAUCGCAAGGCCUUGUGCUACUAGAGCGGCCGAUGGCAGAUUAGGUAGGUGGUGGGAUAAAAGCUUACCAAGCCAACGAGCUGUAGCUGGUCUGAGAGGACGAUCAGCCACACUGGGACUGAUACACGGCCCAGACUCCUACGUGAGGCAGCAGUGGGGAAUUUUGGACAAUGGGCGAAAGCCUGAUCCAGCAAUGCCGCGUGCAGGAUGAAGGCCUUCGGGUUGUAAACUGCUUUUGUACGGAACGAAAAGCCCCGGGUUAAUACCCUGGGGUCAUGACGGUACCGUAAGAAUAAGCACCGGCUAACUACGUGCCAGCAGCCGCCGUAA